rnacentral:rRNA from 1 species
CCUACGGGAGGCAGCAGUGGGGAAUAUUGCACAAUGGGCGCAAGCCUGAUGCAGCCAUGCCGCGUGUGUGAAGAAGGCCUUCGGGUUGUAAAGCACUUUCAGCGGGGAGGAAGGCGGUGAGGUUAAUAACCUCAUCGAUUGACGUUACCCGCAGAAGAAGCACCGGCUAACUCCGUGCCAGCAGCCGCGGUAAUACGGAGGGUGCAAGCGUUAAUCGGAAUUACUGGGCGUAAAGCGCACGCAGGCGGUCUGUCAAGUCGGAUGUGAAAUCCCCGGGCUCAACCUGGGAACUGCAUUCGAAACUGGCAGGCUAGAGUCUUGUAGAGGGGGGUAGAAUUCCAGGUGUAGCGGUGAAAUGCGUAGAGAUCUGGAGGAAUACCGGUGGCGAAGGCGGCCCCCUGGACAAAGACUGACGCUCAGGUGCGAAAGCGUGGGGAGCAGACAGGAUUAGAUACCCUUGUAGUC